rnacentral:rRNA from 1 species
GAUGAACGCUAGCGGCAGGCCUAACACAUGCAAGUCGAGGGGUAGAAUUAGCUUGCUAAUUUGAGACCGGCGCACGGGUGCGUAACGCGUAUGCAAUCUACCUUGUACAGGGGGAUAGCCCAGAGAAAUUUGGAUUAAUACUCCAUGGUAUAAUUGAAUCGCAUGGUUUGAUUAUUAAAGUUCCAACGGUACAAGAUGAGCAUGCGUCCCAUUAGCUAGUUGGUGUGGUAACGGCAUACCAAGGCGACGAUGGGUAGGGGUCCUGAGAGGGAGAUCCCCCACACUGGUACUGAGACACGGACCAGACUCCUACGGGAGGCAGCAGUGAGGAAUAUUGGUCAAUGGUCGGAAGACUGAACCAGCCAUGCCGCGUGCAGGAAGACGGUCCUAUGGAUUGUAAACUGCUUUUGUACGGGAAGAAACACUCCUUCGUGAAGGAGCUUGACGGUACCGUAAGAAUAAGGAUCGGCUAACUCCGUGCCAGCAGCCGCGGUAAA